GUGCCAGCAGCCGCGGUAAUACGGAGGAUGCAAGCGUUAUCCGGAUUCAUUGGGUUUAAAGGGUACGUAGGUGGCCAGUUAAGUCAGUGGUGAAAACCUGUCGCUCAACGAUAGGCGUGCCAUUGAAACUGAUUGGCUUGAGUACAGAUGAGGUAAGCGGAAUGUGUAGUGUAGCGGUGAAAUGCAUAGAUAUUACACAGAACUCCGAUUGCGAAGGCAGCUUACUAAACUGACACUGACGCUGAGGUACGAAAGCGUGGGUAGCGAACAGGAUUAGAUACCCUGGUAGUCCACGCUGUAAACGAUGCUCACUCGCUGUAUGCGAUACACAGUAUGCGGCCAAGCGAAAGCGAUAAGUGAGCCACCUGGGGAGUACGCCGGCAACGGUGAAACUCAAAGGAAUUGACGGGGGCCCGCACAAGCGGAGGAACAUGUGGUUUAAUUCGAUGAUACGCGAGGAACCUUACCUGGGCUUAAAUGGGGAGUGACAGAUCUGGAAACAGGUUUUUCUUCGGACACUCUUCAAGGUGCUGCAUGGUUGUCGUCAGCUCGUGCCGUGAGGUGUCGGGUUAAGUCCCAUAACGAGCGCAACCCUUACCGUUAGUUACCAUCAGGUUAAGCUGGGGACUCUAACGGGACUGCCACCGUAAGGUGAGAGGAAGGUGGGGAUGACGUCAAAUCAGCACGGCCCUUAUGUCCAGGGCUACACACGUGUUACAAUGGCCGGUACAAAGGGCAGCUACUCUGCGAAGAGAUGCUAAUCUUCAAAGCCGGUCUCAGUUCGGAUCGAAGUCUGCAACCCGACUUCGUGAAGCUGGAUUCGCUAGUAAUCGCGCAUCAGCCAUGGCGCGGUGAAUACGUUCCCGGGCCUUGUACACACCGCCCGUCAAACCAUGGAAGUUGGGGGUACCUGAAGUCUGUUACCGCAAGGAGCGGCCUAGGGUAAAACCAAUGACUGGGGUUAAGUCGUAACAAGGUAACCGU
rnacentral:rRNA from 1 species